rnacentral:rRNA from 1 species
CAGUAGCCGCGGUAAUACGUAGGGUGCAAGCGUUGUCCGGAAUUAUUGGGCGUAAAGAGCUCGUAGGCGGUUUGUCGCGUCUGCUGUGAAAACUGGAGGCUCAACCUCCAGCCUGCAGUGGGUACGGGCAGACUAGAGUGCGGUAGGGGAGAUUGGAAUUCCUGGUGUAGCGGUGGAAUGCGCAGAUAUCAGGAGGAACACCGAUGGCGAAGGCAGAUCUCUGGGCCGUAACUGACGCUGAGGAGCGAAAGCGUGGGGAGCGAACAGGAUUAGAUACCCCAGUAGUCCCUGUCUCUUAUAC